AGUGAACAUUACAAUGAUUAGAAAAUCAGACUAGAGUCAACAUUACAAUGAUUAGAGAAUCAGACUAUAGUCAACAUUACAAUGAUUAGAAAAUCAGCCAGCUGCAUUUCAUCAAUCAGUUUAUGAUGAAGCUUUACAGCAUUGGAAAUGAUUACUCAGGGACCAAACAACUGAGCAGAAAGAAGAACCGUAUGACCUUGAAGAGUAAGCAAUGUAUUAAGUAUAUUUGGGGUUACCAAUGAGUAUGGUAAGAACCUCAUCUUAAAUUGUACUUGGUGAGUAUUCUUAUUGUUGGUUAAAUAUUAAGCAUCAUUAUGGAAAAUGGGGGAUCAAGGGUAUACACCAACAAGACAGUGACCAAAGGAAAAUAAAUAACCAAAACCAUCUAGAGGUUUCAACUAUAGUCUGAUGUUUAUACAAUACGUGAACUUGUAAAUCAUCCAAAGUCUAAAAUAUUUG